rnacentral:lncRNA from 1 species
GAAUUGCAUAGACCCAAAGAAACUCUAAUUUGUAAGAAUUAUGUGAUCUUCAUAGAACAUGUUAAAAGGAGAGGUUGACCAAAUCUGCUAUAGGAUGAUACAGACCCAGUUUCCAUAUAUCUUCUAGACCUAAAAAUGAAGAACAAAGAGCGGCGAAGGAUUUGUGUAACCGACCAUAAAUUUUUUGGUGAUAAUGCUUGGUUUAUUCUUAAACUUCGACUACUUUUAAAGCAAUAUUUUUCUCAUCUUACUUGAACAAAUACACAAAGCUCAGAACACAUGUUGCCCAUUUCUUGGAUGUGAACUAAGCUGAUUUGGAUAGUUAUAGAUGUCAAGCAAGACACAAUGUGCUUGGCAUGAUGUUUGAUAAUUGUACAUGUCAAGUAAUACAUGUGAAGCAGUGCAUGACAAUUUGUCAUACACUGUUUGACCCCCUAGCUCAAGACAUUGUCAAGUACUAUAUUCAAAUGAUGUAGCUAUGUUUGACAUGAUUUACACAAAUUGAAAAAUUGGAAGACGUUGAAAGUGAAAAUUGAAUAAUCAACAUAAAUAAAUGAUUAAUGCCAGAUAUUAAUAUUCAAUGAAUUGAAAAUUUUGGUUGCACUAGUACAUAUUGCCUAUGUUUACUUUGUCCACUGUAAUCCAAAAAAAUCAUGUGUCUUUGAUACUACGGGACAACCAGGAUGUCUAAAAUCAUACUUUAAAAUGAUUAAACUCACCACGAUUAAGAUUGAGUUGUUUGUAAUCCACAAAAGGCAUCGUAUGUUUUCUAUGUUUGGCUCAUAUUUAUGAACUGUUUAUAAAACACUUAAAUCACUUUUUAUACAUACAUUUUGAGGAAUCCACAAGUACUAGUAAUUUAUUCAUCACUUUUUAUAAUUUUAAUUGCUUAUAAAC